rnacentral:lncRNA from 1 species
GUGGAUCGGGAGGGUCAAUAGUUAUCCUCUCAAGUGAGCCUGCAGCAGCCUUCAUUAAAUGGCUAAAGAGCUAGACUUCAUUCCUGCACCCCAGCCAACCCCGGAACUCCACCUUCUUGAGGCAUUUGCACUUGCGUCCUUUCGCCAGCUGCUGAUGCCUUUCUCCAAACUCGACAACAGAUUUCAAGAAGCGAGGAUUGCAUCUCCAGUUCUCCACAUUUGGAC